rnacentral:rRNA from 1 species
CCUACGGGUGGCAGCAGUGGGGAAUAUUGGGCAAUGGAGGAAACUCUGACCCAGCAACGCCGCGUGAAGGAUGAAGGUUUUCGGAUUGUAAACUUCUGUCGCGAGGGAUGAAGAAUGACGGUACCUCGUAAGAAAGCCCCGGCAAACUACGUGCCAGCAGCCGCGGUAAUACGUAGGGGGCAAGCGUUAUCCGGAUUUACUGGGUGUAAAGGGAGCGUAGACGGCCAGACAAGUCAGAAGUGAAAGCCCAGGGCUCAACCCUGGGACUGCUUUUGAAACUGCCGGGCUGGAGUGCAGGAGAGGUAAGCGGAAUUCCUAGUGUAGCGGUGAAAUGCGUAGAUAUUAGGAGGAACACCAGUGGCGAAGGCGGCUUACUGGACUGUAACUGACGUUGAGGCUCGAAAGCGUGGGGAGCAAACAAGAUUAGAUACCCGGGUAGUC